GACGAACGCUGGCGGCGUGCCUAAUACAUGCAAGUCGAACGAGAGCGACCGGUGCUUGCACUGGUCAAUCUAGUGGCGAACGGGUGAGUAACACGUGGGUAACCUGCCCAUCAGAGGGGGAUAACAUUCGGAAACGGAUGCUAAAACCGCAUAGGUCUUCGAACCGCAUGGUUUGAAGAGGAAAAGAGGCGCAAGCUUCUGCUGAUGGAUGUACCCGCGGUGCAUUAGCUAGUUGGUGAGGUAACGGCUCACCAAGGCCGUGAUGCAUAGCCGACCUGAGAGGGUGAUCGGCCACAUUGGGACUGAGACACGGCCCAAACUCCUACGGGAGGCAGCAGUAGGGAAUCUUCCGCAAUGGACGCAAGUCUGACGGAGCAACGCCGCGUGAGUGAAGAAGGUGUUCGGAUCGUAAAACUCUGUUGUUAGAGGAGAAUAAGUGCUAGAGUAACUGUUAGCGCCUUGACGGUAUCUAACCAGAAAGCCACGGCUAACUACGUG
rnacentral:rRNA from 1 species